GAUGAAGAACGUAGCGAAAUGCGAUAAGUAAUGCGAAUUGCAGAAUUUCCGUGAGUCAUCGAAUCUUUGAACGCACAUUGCGCCCACUGGUAUUCCGGUGGGCAUGCCUGUUCGAGCGUCAUUAUCCUCCCUCAAACCUCGGGUUUGGUGUUGGACCCAAGUUGUGUGAACAACUGGUCUCAAAGACAAUGACGGCGUCCGUGGGACCCUCGGUGCAACGAGCUUUUAGGAGCACGCGUCGAGUUUCAAGGACCUUCCGGGCCGGUCUCCUUUACUACUUUUACAAGGUUGACCUCGGAUCAGGUAGGAAUACCCGCUGAACUUAAGCAUAUCAAUAAGCGGAGGA
rnacentral:misc_RNA from 1 species